GGCUGCCACCAAACGGGGACACCAGCACCUCUGGGGUGUGGGAUCACUCCUGUGUGACAAACCCAGGGAGCCCCUCUUGGGCAGCCCCACCAAAGAGGGGAUAUCCGGGACUGCACCAGGGGACCUGCAGGACCCCAGAGAUGGGGGACAUGGGGACAAACGGUGCUGGCACAGCUGGGGCCUGCGGGCAGCCCAGCGCUCCCCCCUUUGUCCCCAGAUGAGAUGUGAGAGAAGAGAUGGCAGCUGAACGUAGCACGUGGAAGCUGGAGAGCUGGGAGCAGCGAGUGAAAGCUGGCAGUCGGCAAAUGCAGAUGCUGAAAAUAUCAAUGAAAGCCAUCGGCUGGCGGAGUCGCGGGGAGCAGGAGAUAAUUGUGGAAGCAAACAGAGAGAAAAUCAACUGCAGGCAGCAGCAGCCUGGUCCGGAGGUGAGGGAAAGGUGACGAAGCUGUGGCUCGGCAGAAAUUCCGCUCCAGGUUGUGCUGAAGUGCAGGACGAUGUGUUCGCCUUGGUGUGAAAGGGAAGGGCACCAUCCUGCGCUGGUCUGCAUGCCCCGGAGCUGGGGGCAGCGGGGAGCUCGCAUCCUGUAUGGAGCCAGGAGGGUCUGGCUGAGCUGCCCGUGUUCAGGGCCUCUGCCUUGCAGGGAGGAUGCCGCAGCUCCAUCGGGGUGCAGGGGCACCUCUGCUCUGUUCUGCUCCGGCCAGGGCCGCCUCCCAGCCCUCGUUGCCUCCUAAUGGAUGGCUCCGUUCCUCCUGCUCCCCUCUCGGAAGAGGCCUGCAGAAUAAAUCAGUGCAGAAGACAGAUUAUGGCAACUAAAGACUCCAAAUGAGAUGAUAAUUGCCGUGGUAAUGACAGCGAAGAAGACCUGAUGCUGCGGAUAAGGAAAUAUCUCCACUGCUCUCGGCUGGUGCCCGGCCCGGGGCUGGUGCGGGUGGCACUGUGGGGACUGUCCCCAGGGCGCUGUGACCGGGCACCGCUCCCCUCCCAGGCUGCUGCUGCGGGGGCCCGGGGCUGCCCCAGCACCACCUUUGCCCCAGGAGCCCCACGCAGCGCUUGGGCACCCAGGGUCCAUCCGUGCGGCUCCCCAGCACCCGCAGCGUGUCCCAGAGGAGGCAGGGAUGCUGCCGCCCCAUGCGGUGCUGGGCUGUGCCUGGCACCCCGGGGUGUGGGACCGGGCACCGGCCGGGAGCUCUCGGUGCCUGGGGCUGCUCCUCUGCCCNGGGGCCUGAUCCUGCAGCCCACCGUGCCCCCAGCACCUGCGGCUGCAGGGGCACCGGUUGUGGUGUGGGGAUCAGCAGGGGGCCAGGAGCUGGGGCUGGGGCGCUGGGCACGAGGCAGGCGGCACUGCCGGGGCUGUUUGCCUGCCUCUCCCGCCGGCUGCGUGUCAGCUCUAAUUAGGCAAACUUCUGUAUUCAUUGCGAGCCCAGCCAGCGGAGAAUUCCACAAUUGAAUUUUAAUGCCCUAAAAACACAUUACAAUCAGCCUGAUUAAUUAAGAGAUGGCUUAACACGGUGACCGGGCUGCAGAGGGACACUUCAGGCAGGACCACGGGGCUGCAGCGUGCCGGGGGCCAGCAGAGCCGGUCCCGUCCCCAAAUCCCCACAGGGCUGCAGGAGGGGACAGGGAGCUGGGGACGUGCCCUGGCGGUGCCCAUAGUGGUACCGGAUCCCUCCCCGUGUCCCACCACCAGGACCAUCGGUGCUGUGCACCCCGCAGCUGCUCCCCAGCCGAUGGGUGAUGGCACAAGCCCGCAGGUGCCCUGCAGCAGAUUUGGGGCCGGUGACAACGCCGGGCGCGCUCCCCGGGUGCAGGCAGCCGCCGACAGCGUGAUUGCAAGCGUCUGCUUAAAUAUUUGUGCGGAGCGACAAAGCCCUGGGCUGGCGGGGAAAUCGCUCCCUGCCGAGGUGGCUGUUAAGGGGCUGAUUGGCACCAAGAUUACAGGGGUGCAGGGGAAUCGCUCGGAGCUGACAAAAUAGUUGUGACAAACGUGCGUGUCGGGGGCGAGGGAGGCGGGCGCAGCCGCGGCGCCAGCACGGGCAGCCCUGAAGAGGGGCAAAGCCCGGGGCAGAGCCCAAAAUUGGUGUCUGUGGUGGGUGAUGGAGGGUGACCGGCGUAAAACGGGUGGGAAAUGGGGAAAUUCAUAAUCGUGGUAAAGGAGAAGUUACAAGUGGCAGCGCAUAAAUCAGGGGGAAAUUGAUAAAGGGAGCCUCUCGCCAGGAAGGGACCGGCAGAGGAGGGAGGAAUGUCUAAAGCAUAAUAAGGCCAAAAGAAAUCCUGGCAAGGCUAUAAAUCCUGCACCCGCUGGAAUUGUUCGAGCGCUAAUGAUCAUGCAAAAACGCCAGACACGUUUAACAAAUAUUUCUGCUCUGUAUUUGGAAAGAAGCGGGACGACAUGUUUGAAUCAUACAAGAGUGAUGAAGCCGUCUAUUAAUUACUGCCGGGAAUGUUAAACAACAUCUGCCAGCUCAGCAGGCCCAGGCACCGCCUGCACCGGCCUCCUCCAAGAGCUGGAGGAGAAUUUGGCCUCCUCGUUAAUUUCCCGUGAAAUCUUGCGAUGGCACGAAGAUCCCAGAGACCCACGUGGGGCGAGCCCACCCAUGCCGCCGGGGCCAAGGCAGAUGGACCGAAAGCGGCCAAAUAGCAGGAAAAUGAUGCUGAGGGGCCCAGGGGUGCGGGGCGCUGGGCCUUCGCCUCCUUGUCUUGGCCUUACUGGGAUCGAUAUCACGUUCAGCCCCGGCUCGAUGCUCGCUGAUGAAGAAUAGCCAUAGCGCCGGCGGCGGCGUGCGUUUGUUUCCCAGCGUAUGAUGUAUGGAUUUUCAGCCAAGCGUUUUCGGAGGCUGCAACGCGGCGAGAUCGCUAAAGCGCCUCGCAGAAAUCCUCACCCAGGCUUUGGGGAGAGGUUGGCAAGGUUCCCCACAUCGUGCCCAGCAGUGGCACUAUUACAGGUUAAAGCUGAAAGCCAAAAAGAAAAGCAACCCCCCCAGCUCUGCCGAAUUAAAGGGGCUGUUAAUCCAGCUGAACGAGAGCGAGUUUCCCUGGUCCCAAGCGGAAACACCUCACAUUUCUGGCAGGGGGCCGGCUGCUGGGGAAGGCUUUUUGUCUGCUGGUACCCCCUCAUCCAGAUGGGAUGGGUUUUGGGACAACUGCCCACCCGGCAGGGUGACAGGCGCGGGUGGGACGUGCCACCCAGCCACCCCAGCCCGUGGUGGCGCAGCCCUCCUGCCCCCCGAGGGUGGCAGCCGAGCCUGGGGACAGGUAGUUAAAAAUGCAGAAAUGUCAAUUUAAAUUAAAACACGGCUUGCGAAGAGAGAGAGACAGAGACGAAAUCUUGCCCGCAGCACAAUGAGCAGGGGGACUUAGGGGGUGCUGUGAAGACGCUGUCCCCGUGGGCUCCGAGUUGGCUUGGCCACGUGCUGCUGGUGCCAUGGGGCACCCCAAGGCACCAUGCCGGGGCAGGGGGCCCUGCCGCCUCCCCACCCCUGCAGUCACAGAGGCCACAGCCGGGUCUGCGCCAAAAUGUCAGCUUGCUAAUAAAACGAGCCAGAGCUACGCUCUCCCCGGGACC
rnacentral:lncRNA from 1 species